GAAGAUCCUCUGGAAAAGGGAAAGGCUACCCAUUCCAGUAUUCUAGCCUGGAGAAUUCUAUGGACUGUAUAGGCCAUGGGGUCGCAAAGAGUUGGACAUGACUGAGUGACUUUCACUUUCAAAUAUUUGUGGGGACACAGUGCAACCUUUCAGAUAUGCAGUCUGAAAUUACCUGAAAUAUAUCCUUAGGCUCUCAUGCCUACAGGGGACCCAUCCGUUUGGAAAAACAGACCGGUGGCCCCUGGGCUUGUAUCAACUGCAUCAGAACCUAAAUCCGGAGAUGCGGAGAGGGGAAAGCCAGGUUCACCCCUUUCUGGUCGCUCUCCGUAUUCUAAAUCACCCAGACGUCCAGCGGGAUUUGAAACUGGCCCUCGUGGAACCUCCAGCAGUAAGACUUCAUUACACUAUCCCUCAUUUAAUCUUCUCCUGUAAGAUAUUCCUAAACACUGGGUCCCUUGGCAAACGCCCUGAAGAAGUUUCAUUUCAAUAUUGCUUUGUAUUUAUAUAACCUCUAUAUCGAAGGAGCUUAAAAACACUUAUGGCCCAUGCUUCAUUACUUAGUGUAACCACAAGGAAAGUCAAC
rnacentral:lncRNA from 1 species